CGAAGAGACCGGCCCAAGUCCCAUUAGCUAGUUGGUAUGGGUAACGGCCUACCAAGGCUACGAUGGGUAGCUGGUUUAAGAGAAUGAUCAGCCACACUGGUACUGGAACACGGACCAGACUCCUACGGGAGGCAGCAGUUAGGAAUUUUGCGCAAUGGGGGAAACCCUGACGCAGCAACGCCGCGUGAGUGAAGAAGGCCUUCGGGUUGUAAAGCUCUUUUAGCAAGAACGAAAAAAAUGACGGUACUUGCAGAAAAAGCACCGGCUAACUCCGUGCCAGCAGCCGCGGUAAUACGAAGGGGGCUAGCGUUGCUCGGAAUCACUGGGCGUAAAGGGUGCGUAGGCGGGUUUCUAAGUCAGAGGUGAAAGCCUGGAGCUCAACUCCAGAACUGCCUUUGAUACUGGAAGUCUUGAGUUCGGGAGAGGUGAGUGGAACUGCGAGCGUAGAGGUGAAAUUCGUAUAUAUUCGCAAGAACACCAGUGGCGAAGGCGGCUCACUGGCCCGAUACUGACGCUGAGGCACGAAAGCGUGGGGAGCAAACAGGAUUAGAUACCCUGGUAGUCCACGCCGUACACGAUGAGUGCCAGCCGUUAGUGGGUUUACUCACUAGUGGCGCAGCUCACGCUUUAAGC
rnacentral:rRNA from 1 species